rnacentral:lncRNA from 1 species
AUGGGGAAAAUGCAGAAGGCGGUGGAUGAGGUAGUUAAAUGGUCAUAUAAGUGGGGAUUUAAGUUAUCAGUGGAGAAGUCACAAGUUAUUAUAUUUUCCAACAAGAAAGUAGAUAAUGAAUGGAAGUUAAGGAUAUAUAACAGGGAAAUGGCUCGAGUAACAUCAGUUAGAUUCUUGGGAAUGUGGCUAGAUACUAGACUUACAUGGAAUGAACAUAUUGAUAAGAUAGUGAAUAGGUGUAAAAGAGUGUUAAAUAUAAUGAAAUGUAUGGCAGGACAAGAGUGGGGAGCAGAUAGAGGGGCGCUUCAAUCAGUAUAUAUAGCAAUGAUAAGAUCUGUACUAGAUUAUGGAAGUAUAGCAUAUGGGUUGGCGGCAAAAUCACAGUUAGAGAAAUUGGAUAGAAUUCAAGCACAGGCGAUGAGAAUUUGCUGUGGAGCAUAUCCAACAACACCUAUAGUAGCUUUGCAAGUAGAGAUAAAUGAAAUGCCGCUUAAUAUUAGAAGAAAACAGUUAAUGGCUGUGUAUUGGACAAAUCUAAAUAGUCAGAAUGAGGUACAUCCAACAAGGAAAAUAUUAGGAAAAAGUUGGGAACAAGGAAUGAAGAAACAUAAGAGUUUUGGGUGGGUGGUAGAAGAAGAUAUUAAGGAGAUGGGGAUAAACAAUUAUAGAUGUGUACCAAGAGUAAUAUAUCCGAAUACUCCUAUAUGGAUUAUUCCUCAGCCAGUAGUAGAUUUAACAUUACUGGAGAUAAGACAGAGUGAAGGAAAUAAUGGGAUGGAAGUAAUGAGAGCAAAUGAGUAUUUAAGAAUAACAUAUGGAGAUAGUAUACAGAUUUACACAGAUGCUUCCAAAAAAGGAAGGAGAGUAGGAGUGGCAGUCAAUGUGCCAAAGUUAAUGGUGAAGAAAAAAGCUAGAAUUAGUGACCAGUUGUCAAUAUAUACAGGUGAGUUGAUGGCUAUUUUGCUAGGAGUACAAAUAAUUAAGGAAAGGAAAAUAAAAAAUGCAGUCAUAUGUUCAGAUUCUUAUUCAGCAAUAGUUAGUAUCUAUAAUCAAAAAUCUGAAUCAAGGCCAGAUUUAAUCAUGGAAAUUCUUCAAAAUCUCUUUGAGUUGAAACAAAUUAAAAUAGAAGUACAGUUUAUGUGGGUCCCAGCUCAUGUGGGAAUUAAAGGCAAUGAGGAAGCAGAUAAAUUAGCUAAACAAGUAGUAGAUGAAGAUAGGGUAGAAAUUGAGUUAUCACAUAGUUUAAAAGAAAUCAAAUCAGUAAUAAAGGAGGAAAUGAUUAAAAAGUGGCAACAAUAUUGGGAUAAUGAGAGUAAAGGUAGACAUUUAUAUGCAAUACAAAAGAAAGUGGGAAAAGGUAGGAAAAGAGGGAGAAAUAGAAGGGAGGAAAGUAUAAUUACAAGACUAAGGGUGGGACAUACCGGUUUGAAUAAAACAUUACAUUUAAUAUCUAAGCAUCCAACGGGUUUGUGUGAGAAAUGUGGACAAAGUGAAACUGUGGAACAUGUGUUUAUUAAUUGUAAUGGUUAUGAUGAAGAAAGAGAAGUGCUAAGAGAAGAAUUAUGGAAGAAUGAAGGGAAAGAGUUAAUAUUAAAGAAUAUAUUAGACUUGGAUAUAGGAAAUAGUAUGGUUAAUGUGUUGUUUCAGUUUUUGAAUAAUACUGGUUUAAUGAAUAGAUUGUAG